AGUGAACGCUGGCGGUAGGCCUAACACAUGCAAGUCGAACGGCAGCACAGUAAGAGCUUGCUCUUACGGGUGGCGAGUGGCGGACGGGUGAGGAAUACAUCGGAAUCUACUUUUUCGUGGGGGAUAACGUAGGGAAACUUACGCUAAUACCGCAUACGACCUACGGGUGAAAGCAGGGGAUCUUCGGACCUUGCGCGAUUGAAUGAGCCGAUGUCGGAUUAGCUAGUUGGCGGGGUAAAGGCCCACCAAGGCGACGAUCCGUAGCUGGUCUGAGAGGAUGAUCAGCCACACUGGAACUGAGACACGGUCCAGACUCCUACGGGAGGCAGCAGUGGGGAAUAUUGGACAAUGGGCGCAAGCCUGAUCCAGCCAUACCGCGUGGGCGAAGAAGGCCUUCGGGUUGUAAAGCCCUUUUGUUGGGAAAGAAAAGCAGCAGGUUAAUACCCCGCUGUUCUGACGGUACCCAAAGAAUAAGCACCGGCUAACUUCG
rnacentral:rRNA from 1 species